CUCCUACACCUCUAAUAUCAUGUGUGUGUUCAAUACAAAUUAUUUCCAUCCACCAUUAGUUUCCUCCAUAUAUGCUGAUAAGGUUCUCCUCAAGCCUAGUCUCUCACUGAACUAACUAAAAAGCUGCAAUUCCUUCCAUGGAAAAGUUUCAUAUUUUCCCUCUCUUCCUUCUAUAUUUCCUUUCUCUUCUACUUUUCUCAUCAGCUUACACCCCUCGAAAUAAGUACUUCAUCAACUGUGGAUCAAAGACCAACGUUACAGUCAAUGGUAGGAACUUCGUCGGUGACUCGAAUUCAAGCUCACUUUCGUUCUUUGUUGGACCAAGCUCUACUGUAAGUGACACCAACUCAUCAACAAAUAACUCUCUUUAUCAAACUGCGAGAAUAUUCACAAAUUCAUCUUUGUAUGAGUUUGAUAUCAUUGACAAGGGCAACUACUAUCUACGUAUCCAUUUCUUUCCUUUCGUGUCUGGUAGGACUAAUCUGGCUGAUGCUCUAUUUGAUGUUUCGGCUUCUGAUUUUUAUCUGCUAUCAAAUUUUGCUCUUCAAAACAAUAGUAACUCACCAGUGAUUGAGGAAUUCUUACUUACUAUCAAUGGAAGCAAGUUCAGCAUCCACUUCACUCCUCAUAAGAACUCCUUUGCUUUCGUUAGCGCCGUAGAAGUCUUUCUUGCCCCACCAAACUUCACUACUUAUGGUUUCCCUCAUGUUACUCCUAUGGGGGAAAACGGUAGUUACUAUGGUGUAGCAUCUCAGGUUUUUCAUACAAUUCACAGGGUCAAUGUUGGAGGUCCAAAGACUAAUGACACACUGUGGAGGAAUUGGAUACCUGAUGAUGAGUAUCUACUUUCUGCAGGAUCUGCAAAAACAUGUGCUACUUAUAAUGGUACGCUUCUCUAUGAUAAUCCUGGAGGAACUAAUUAUAGUGCCCCGGAUCUUGUCUACAAGACUUGCAAAGAAUUGAAUCCCACUGACAACAUGGGAUCAAAUUCUUCUAACAUAAGUUGGCAAUUUGGUGUGAGUAAGAGAUCCAGGCAUAUGGUUAGGCUUCACUUUUGUGAUAUCAUUGGCAAAGACCCUUAUUUACUCAAGUUCAAUCUCUAUAUUUAUAGCAAUUUCAGUCAGAAGAUAAAUCCUUACGAUGAAACUGAUAAGGUGGCAGCUCCAUUUUACUGUGACUUUGUGGUUGAUUCAGAUGAUUCAGGAUAUAUGAACAUGAGUGUCGGGCCUAGGGAAGAUUCUAUAACUAAAACUGCCUAUCUAAAUGGGGUGGAGAUAAUGGAAUUUAUUAAAGAAUCAGACUUUGUCCAUAUUCCAGGCGAUCAAAAGAAACUAAUUUUUGUUGUGGUAGGUACAGUUUGUGGUGUGACCUUCGUUUUCAUUUUGGCACUGCUGUUCUUGUUAAAACGCAUGAGAGCAAAGCAUGUGGAUGGGGUGGGUUCAAAGCCAGAGGUUCAUCUUGGAAAAGGAUCGACGAAUGCCUCCCUCGUUCGUAAUUUAAAUUUGAAGUUGAAGAUGCCUCUUCUUGAAGUACAAGGUGCUACUCAUAACUUUGAUUCCAAACGGUUGGUAGGUGAGGGUGGAUUUGGGAAAGUUUAUGAAGGAAGUCUUCAGAAUGGCAUGAAAGUGGCUGUGAAGCGAAGUGAUUCAAAGCAUGGCCAGGGCCUUCCAGAAUUCACAACAGAAAUCUUGGUUUUAUCCAGAAUUCGCCAUCGCCAUCUUGUUUCCUUGAUUGGAUAUUGUGAUGAAGGGCCUGAGAUGAUACUGGUGUGUGAAUUUAUGGAAAAGGGAAGCCUGAGAGAACAUUUGUAUGAUUCCAAUGAGAACUCUUCUCAGAGAUCAGCUAAAAGGCCCACAUUGACCUGGAAGCAAAGGCUUGAGAUUUGUAUUGGUGCAGCAAAAGGCCUUCAUUACCUUCACACUUGCUUACAUGGGGGAAUCAUCCACCGUGAUGUUAAGUCAACAAACAUAUUGUUGAAUGAACAUUAUGUUGCAAAAGUUGCAGAUUUUGGCCUUUCAAGAUCCGGUCCUGAUGAUCCAGAACAUUUCAGUGUUGGCAUAAAAGGUAGCUUUGGUUAUGUGGAUCCUGAAUAUUUUAGGUCCUUUCAGUUCACAGACAAGUCUGAUGUCUACUCCUUUGGUGUAGUACUUCUUGAAGUGCUUUGUGCCAGACCUGCUAUUCUUGACUCACCGAAGAGGGAGGAGGUGAACUUAGCUGAAUGGGGGAUGUUAUGGCAAAAGAAAGGAGGACAACUUGAAAAGAUUAUGGACCCGCUUUUAGUGGGAGACAUUAACCCUGAUUCAUUGAGAAAAUUUGGUGAAACAGCUGUGGGAUGUUUGAAGGAAAAUGGAGCUGAAAGGCCUACUAUGCUUGAUGUGCUGUGGGACUUGGAAUAUGCAUUGCAGCUUCAAAAAACUGCAGUGCAAGGAGUACCACAUGGGGACAGCACAACAAAUGCGAUUUUGGGAUUGCAUUUGACUCAAAAUUUGGGUUUGCUUCCUGAUAUCUUCCUUGAUGAGGGAGGUGUUGAAUGUAAUGAAGAGCCCUUAAGAGGGGAUAAUGGUUCGGAUGUAAGUGGAGUUUUCUCUCAAAUAGAGAUUGAUGGUGCAAGAUGAUCGAAAGUUGCUUUGUGUUGAGGUCCAGAAAGUAUCUCUUGUAACAGGUGUACCAAGUUACCCAUGUAACAAUCAAUGAAUAAACGUCGUGUAAUUCAAUUUUAUACUCUAUUAUCAAAGUUGGUCCCAAUAAUUUUUCACAUAUUAUUCACUCAUUGAGUUGUCA